UACGUAGGUGACAAGCGUUGUCCGGAUUUACUGGGCGUAAGAGCGCGCAGGCGGUCGAUCAAGUCGAGUGUGAAAGCCCCCGGCUCAACUGGGGAGGGUCAUUCGAAACUGGUCGACUCGAAGGCAGGAGAGGGUAGUGGAAUUCCCGGUGUAGUGGUGAAAUGCGUAGAUAUCGGGAGGAACACCAGUGGCGAAGGCGACUACCUGGCCUGUUCUUGACGCUGAGGCGCGAAAGCUAGGGGAGCAAACGGGG
rnacentral:rRNA from 1 species